UCUCUGUGCAACAUUACCACUAAUUCAAUCAUAUCAUUAAGCUUCUACAUUAACUUCUUCCGGCCACCUCUCCCACUACGUAAAAUUCAAUAACCUUUCUGCACCAGCGAUUUGAUAAUCCCUAAUUCCUAAUACUAUAAAUAAGACAUUAAGCCAUCUUCAAAUCGAAUUGCUUGAUCCUCUUAGUUAGACUGCUUCCUUGCAAGCAUAGAUCGCAACAAUGGUGUCCUCAUGUUUUCCGAUUUGAAAGUCGUAUGUGCGCGUCAGACGGUGGUUACACGGCUUCUCUGUUUUAGGGAGGCACGACGUCAAAAAAGAGGUUGAGGGAGUCGACAUGCUCUUGCUUGAUGAAAAGUUAUAGCUCCUUCAAGGAUCUAUUUCUGUCCAUCAACUUAACACUUUCAGACAUCUCUAAGCAUCACUGACUUCAAUCUCUUAGAUUUGAUGUCACUGGCAAAGGCAAAUACUCAGUUUCCCGACAUCAUAGAGGUUGUUAGCCUUAUCAAGACAACAUUCAAUGACGAUGUCCACACAACUCCUGUAUAGCCAUUUAUUCUCCUUCGAGGAAGGUUCUGAGGACAUUCAAUGAUGACAUAUCCUCUUGGUACAGAGCAAGUAACUCCAAUACGAAGAACAACUGUAACGACAUAAGUCUAAACACUUCAAAUCAUUCAAAACCAGAAACAGGAGACACCGUCGCACAGAGGAGGAAACAUCGACGGAUCAGAUAGAGAGCAGUGGGAACAAUCAGCAGGCUACAGACGGUAAAACUCGGAAGAAACCAAGACUCUGUUGUGUCCAAGAUGAAAGAGCAUGGACACUAAGUUCUGUUAUUACAACAAUUACAACAUAAACCAGGCUCACCAUUUCUGAAAAUCCUAUCAUAGAUACUAGACUGUCUGAGGGACUAUGAUGAUUGUGCCCGAGGGUGCAGGAGACUGCAAGAUCAAAUGCUCAUCCUCUCAUUACCGCCACAUCAUAAUCUCCGAGGCUCUAGAGGCUGCAAGGCUUGAUCAGAGAUUACACUCGAGUCCUGAGUUUUGGUUUUAGAAGCUCAUCAACAGCAUGCUAAUCCCAUGACACCCGUGAUGAAGCUAGAAGGAGACCAUAAAGUACUCUCUGGAAUCAAAAAGAAAAAUAGAAUUUUUAUGAGUUCAUGAACUAUUUUCGUCAAAAUUAAAUAAGUAUGAUAAAAAAAGCAAUUUGAUUAUAAUUAUUCUCUC